rnacentral:rRNA from 1 species
GUAACAUGUGGGAAUCUGCCUUGUGGUUCAGGACAACAUUGGGAAACCGAUGCUAAUACUGGAUAAGCCCUUACGGGGAAAGUUUUAAUGCCAUAAGAUGAGCCCGCAUUUGAUUAGUUAGUUGGUGAGGUAAUGGCUCACCAAGACAAUGAUCAAUAGCUGAUCUGAGAGGAUGAUCAGCCACACUGGGACUGAGACACGGCCCAGACUCCUACGGGAGGCAGCAGUGGGGAAUCUUGCACAAUGGAGGAAACUCUGAUGCAGCGAUGCCGCGUGAGUGAAGAAGGCCUUUGGGUUGUAAAGCUCUUUUGUAGGGGAAGAUAAUGACUGUACCCUAAGAAUAAGGUCCGGCUAACUUCGUGCCAGCAGCCGCGGUAAUACGAAGGGACCUAGCGUAGUUCGGAAUUACUGGGCGUAAAGCGCGCGUAGGCCGUUGAGUUAGUUAAUUGUGAAAUCCCAAAGCUUAACUUUGGAACUGCAAUUAAAACUGCUCGACUAGAGUUUGAUAGAGGAAAGCGGAAUACAUAGUGUAGAGGUGAAAUUCGUAGAUAUUAUGUAGAACACCAGUUGCGAAGGCGGCUUUCUGGAUCAACACUGACGCUGAGGCG